rnacentral:misc_RNA from 1 species
UAGUGUCCAGUGUUAGUUAGAGUAGAGUUAGUGUUAGAGUCGCCAUUUUCGUUUCAUACAAUUUCAUUAUUUUUAAUGGCGUGUCGGCGACAACGAUCUGAUUUAGUGGGGCCGAGGCAAAAAAGACGAAAUGUAAGUGAAGCGGUUCGUGAUAGUUACAUGACAACUGACGUGCACUUAACUUCCUAUGAGGUUGACCAUAGUGCUGGUGAAAAUCAUCUCGCUGUAGUUUCUCGUGUGAAAUUGAACACGGUUGAAGAUCUGCAAAGUGAAACAAGUAAUUUUUAUGACGGUGAAACCAAUUGGGUGUCCAGUGAUAGUGAUGUUGACAAUGACGGUGGCUUAGAAACGUUGUCUACAACUUUGUUAGACGAAAAACUAAUUUUUCGACAGACGAAGACCAUAAGUUCUUUCCGUGAGAAGCUGGCAUCAUGGGUGGUCGAUUGUCAAGUGAAUCAAAGUUAUGUUGACAAAUUACUUUUCAUUCUAAAAACAAUUCCUGAAAGCCAUUUAUUAGAUCUUCCAGAAACAUGUCGUUCAUUAUUACAUACUGUUCGAAAAACCCCGUUAAAAAUAGUCGACCCGGGCCAUUACCAUCACUUGAGAAUUGCUAACGGCAUUUUGCAAAUGCUUUUCAAAUUGAAAAUCAUAAAUCUCUCCAAUCCUAAAAUUAAACUCAUUGUUAACGUUGAUGGCAUUCCCAUUGCAAAGAGCUCCGGCAGUCAAUUCUGGCCUAUAUUAGGCCUCAUUGUUGAUAUUCUAAAUUCAAAACCAUUUCUCAUUGGCAUUUACCAUGGUCACAGUAAGCCAAAAAACGCCAACUUGUUCCUUGAAGAUUUUGUAAACGAAAUGUUACAAUUGACAGAGUCAGGGCUUGUAAGUAACGGACAAAAUUUAAAAAUUGAAUUGUUGGGUUUCGUGUGUGAUGCUCCGGCAAGAGCAUACAUAUCCGCCACCAAGUCUCACAGUGGGUAUUCGAGCUGCUCAAAGUGCAUCGAAGAGGGUGAUUGGGAGGGGAAGGUGGUUUUUUUUAACGAAAACGCACCACUUCGCAGUGAUGCAACGUUUAGAAAACGAGAACAUGAAGACCAUCACACUGGAAAAACAAUAUUAGAACGAUUGCCCAUUGACAUGGUUCAGUCCUUCCCUCUUGAUUACAUGCAUUUAGUUUGCCUCGGGAUAAUGCGCAAGUUGCUUUGGGCUUGGAUUCGUGGUUCUUUAAAAUGCCGAAUUGGUCUCAGAAGUGUUAACAAGAUAUCGAAUUUUUUGUUAGUUAUUUCUAGCUAUAUUCCUGCCGACUUUGCGCGUAAACCCAGGUCCCUUUGCGAACUAGCAAGAUGGAAAGCCACGGAAUUACGUCAAUUUCUUUUGUACACUGGUCCCGUCGUCUUAAAACCAAUUUUACCAAAACCACUCUAUUUGCAUUUUUUAUUACUACACACAGGUAUCAAGAUUUUGACUCACAAAUUGUUAAGCCAACAAUUUAACGAUUACGCAAAACAAUUACUUGUCCUUUUUGUGAGUCAAUGUCGAGAACUUUAUGAGAAAGAUUUCUUAUCUUACAACGUACACAACUUGAUACACCUGGCUGAUGACGUAAAAACUUUUGGACACUUAGACAAUUUUUGUGCAUUCCAUUUGAAAAUCAUUUGCAGCAAAUCAAAAAGCUAAUCAGAAAACACGAUAAGCCCUUACCUCAAGUGAUAAGGCGAAUAAUCGAAAUAGAAAAAAAUUUAUUGAAUGAAGCUGAAAAGGAAGAAGUAGGUGCCGUUACAUUAACAAGAAAACAUUUAAAUGGGCCGGUUUUGAACAAUUGUUCCGGUAGUCAAUUUAUGUGCUUGACAGUAAAAUCUUACUGUAAUUUAAAAUCUUAUACUGCUGCUGACUGCUGCGUAAUUCUUCAUGGCGAGACUAUUGUAAAAAUUUGCAAUUUUGUUCAAUACGAGUCGGGAAUAUUUUUUGUCGGUCAACAGUUUAAAGUAAAAAAAAAUCUGUUUGACUCGCCUAUUGAGUCAUCGCGACUUGGCAUUUAUGUAGUAAAUCAGUUGGCUGCCAUGCAUUAUUGGCCUGUAUCGCGGUUUAAAUCAAAAGCUGUAAUGAUUCCUGUUCGCGCCGAAAAAUUUGACAGUUUUGCCGUUUUCCCGUUAUUGUUUGAACAAAUGGGGCACUAAAUACAUCCAUAAUUGCGUAUGUCCUUCCUAACUUCUUUAAGAACAAUUAAUGGCCUACCUAAUCUUGUUAUCCGGCAACUAUGCUUUACCCUACCUUUUACAUGUGACUGACUGCUGUGCUGGAGAUAAUUUGUCUGCAUACUUUUUACAAGACCAGGAUAAAAACAUCUUCCUUAACAUUGCUUUUAAUGAUUUUUCAUAUUGGAUAAUUCUUUGUGUCACAUCACUCAUCAUAGUGUGAUUAUAAGCCCUCUUACUUUGGUAAAAAAAAGAAGAUCAACAUUUUUUCCAGAUGUUUUGUGUCGUCGAAUUUCUCGAUGAAGGUAAAGGGAGUGCAGUUGAAAUCGUGCCAAAGUCUUGGUGUGUUGGACACAAACAUUGUUGGUGGCCUCCAUCACUGCAUACCGCAGAUGACUUGACAAAGCUUCUCAUGAAAUCAGGACCGAUAGAUGAGUCCACAUGGACCAUACACAUUGCAGCAGUCCUUGCUUCAUACAAUAAUUAUGGAGAAGCUAAUGUAAAUGUUGCAAAAGCUAUGAAAGGCUUGCCAAUUCAUAGCAGUACUGACAUCGAAGAUCUGGGGAAACAUAAACGGAAGCGGAAAGCUACAAUGAAGGCAGCCUCAGCCUCCUCG